rnacentral:sRNA from 1 species
GUGGCUGAAACAACAGUCACCGGGUUUGGCGACUCGAUGAACACAGGCGGACGACCGCCGUUUGGCGGUAUUUUU